GGCGUCGAGCGGCGGACGGGUGAGUAAUGCCUAGGAAAUUGCCUUGAUGUGGGGGAUAACCAUUGGAAACGAUGGCUAAUACCGCAUAAUGCCUACGGGCCAAAGAGGGGGACCUUCGGGCCUCUCGCGUCAAGAUAUGCCUAGGUGGGAUUAGCUAGUUGGUGAGGUAAUGGCUCACCAAGGCGACGAUCCCUAGCUGGUCUGAGAGGAUGAUCAGCCACACUGGAACUGAGACACGGUCCAGACUCCUACGGGAGGCAGCAGUGGGGAAUAUUGCACAAUGGGCGAAAGCCUGAUGCAGCCAUGCCGCGUGUAUGAAGAAGGCCUUCGGGUUGUAAAGUACUUUCAGUUGUGAGGAAGGG
rnacentral:rRNA from 1 species